rnacentral:rRNA from 1 species
GACGUAGGGGGCCAGCGUUGUUCGGAAUUACUGGGUGUAAAGGGUUCGUAGGCGGUGUGGCAAGUCGGGAGUGAAAUUUCUGGGCUCAACUCAGAGACUGCUUCCGAAACUGCUGUGCUUGAGUGUGGGAGAGGCGCGUGGAAUUGCAGGUGUAGCGGUGAAAUGCGUAGAUAUCUGCAGGAACACCCGUGGCGAAAGCGGCGCGCUGGCCACUACUGACGCUGAGGAACGAAAGCUAGGGGAGCAAACAGG